rnacentral:pre_miRNA from 1 species
UGAAUCGGAACCACUCGGAUGACUCGGUUAGAUAACUCGAUCCUUAGAUUAAAUUUAUAUAGUUAUUUAACCGGAUUAACUCGGUGACUCGGCCACU